UUACCACUUAGGCUUUUGGCUAAUCAAUGCUAUUUUUUUCCUAAUUAAUUUUUAAUAUCUUACUAAACAACAGAAAAUAAUUUAUAUUUUUUUAAAAAUAUUUUCCACAAGAUAUUUUUCACGGACAAUUUAUUGUCUUAAAACAAAUGGAGCCUAAAUUUCUUUGCAUCUUCUAAAAACAAACCAAAUACCUUAUCAUCUUCAUAACUUGUGGGCUUCAAUUUAAGCUUUUCAUGAAUCUUCAUAUGGAUAACUAAGAUUCUACUAAUUGCAGGUCAUGAAGUGGAUCGCUUGGCAGCUAU
rnacentral:misc_RNA from 1 species